GCCCCCGUAGCCCAACGGCAGAGGCAGGCGGCUUAAACCCGCUCCAGUGCGGGUUCGAAUCCCGCUGGGGGCACCC
rnacentral:tRNA from 1 species